rnacentral:rRNA from 1 species
GUGCCAGCAGCCGCGGUAAUACGUAGGUGGCAAGCGUUGUCCGGAAUUAUUGGGCGUAAAGGGCUCGCAGGCGGUUCCUUAAGUCUGAUGUGAAAGCCCCCGGCUCAACCGGGGAGGGUCAUUGGAAACUGGGGAACUUGAGUGCAGAAGAGGAGAGUGGAAUUCCAUGUGUAGCGGCGAAAUGCGUAGAUAUAUGGAGGAACACCAGUGGCGAAGGCGGCUCUCUGGUCUGUAACUGACGCUGAGGCUCGAAAGCGUGGGGAGCAAACAGGAUUAGAUACCCUGGUAGUCC